ACACAAACCGGCCGCGCGUCCAAUACAUGACCUACAAGUAGGCCCCCCUGAUAUUUCCUGACGUCUUUCCUUGAAGUUUCAAGAAGUUGUUCAGCGGCCUGCGUGAUUCGAUUGAUUCGAGCAGACGAAUGCUAGCUCUACUGUCAUGAUUUGACCGAGCCUGGUACCGCUGUGAAUACGAUUCCGCAGGUCACGCUUUGGGAGACAAAUGGCCUGCUUCUCACCACCCAUUAUUCUCCUUGGGACCGCCACCUCCCUGGACUUUCCAAGACAUCGCCGCCGAUGCUGCCUGGAUCUUGCCCGAGUAGGACAUGAUCUACACAAGCCCAAGUUCUGAAGAGAAACCAGCUGAAGCCUUUCCCCUUUUGACACUGUAUGAAGAUUCAUUGACUUUAAUACCUUGCAUCCAUUGACGUUCUUGUGUGGAUAUUUCAGUGGUCACCCAAAUACUCUAGACAUUUCCAAACCGUUACCAUUUGUCAAUAAUUUUCCCUUUUUCCCCAAUUUGAGACUUGUUGAUGUCGCCUGUGUUGCUUUCAGUUCAUCCAUUUUGUUUCCACCACUGAAACACAACACAUUGAAUACCGGUAGUUGAUUUCCGUAUUUUGUUGUUCUGUUCUUGAUCGCUGUGUGUAUGAUUGAUUUACAUGUAUGUGACGACAUCUCCAGAAAUUAGGAUAAGUCUGAAGAACUUCUGAUAUGUUUUCUUUCUUUUAGAGGUGAAGUUUGUGAAUUAUCAUCUUUGGAAAAUAAUUUUGUCGUCUUAUGCAGGAAAUGUGUGUUCCAAAAGAACGGCUCAGUUCUUUUUAGCCAAAGGGAAUAAAGUGCUAAUCACAAAUUGCAGCUUUCUUUGACUUGUUUCAUAUAUAUGAAUUAGAAUCUGACCCAAUUUUCAUUUGUAGUUUUAUUCAUUUUCCCUUGCCCUCCAGUGGCUCUGUCACAGGUGGAAUGUGAUUUUUUUCAGAAAUAGCGAAGUUAUGCUUUGACAAGGUUUUGGAUGAUCAUUAAAAAAGAUAAAAAUCAAUGCUUAAUUCCAACAACUUCAAAUUUGCAAAAGUUUGCAACACAUUGAAAACAAAAUUACACUUAAUUAGUUUGCAUGGUCAAAGGAAAGUAAUGAGUUUUUUCAAAUUGCCAAAAGCAAAAAAAGUAACUUUUAAAGCAGUGAACAAAAUCAAAUAAAACUUAAUGAUUCCAUACCAAAAUAAUUGAAAUAAACAGUUGUAAUUGUUUCCUUAAACACUUUAAGCUGAGCCCCAGCCCUGCAUGUUACAAACAAUACAGACUUGUGGAUAUAAACUUACAGAAAGCUUGAGAGUGCCAGGCCGGAGAACCUCCAGUCUUGACCGAUUUAAGGAAAAGUGUAGCACAGAAGUUAAACUACAGGUUUCAUUGAUUCAUUAUGGUGGGUGUGGUGGUGGGCAUGCAUUAUGCUUUGCAGGUAGCUUGAGAUAGAACCUUCAGAACUGUCUUGGCCUUCAGCGCUGUCUCAUCAGGUACACCUUCAGUGUACUCACAGCCCAAGCUCUCCCCACCGUGUCAGUGUGGCGCUCUAAUGAAUCUUAGCAUUCUAGGCCUUCUGUACCAACUACUUUACAAAGGAAGCUUCAAUGCAAGUUUGCCUGGGGCAUUCAUUCAAAAAGUACUCUGGCCUUUCCAUUCAGUUGUAUUUGCAGUUUUAUUCAGUUGUAUUUUUUCAUCACUGGACAGGUUGCAUGCUAUCAAGAACUACAAGUGGUAAAUAAAAAUCUUACACACAAAAGAAAAAACGUAGGGGAAAAAUCUGCGUAAUUGGGGCUGUUGACAGGCUCUUCAUACAUUUUUUAUGUUGGUCCUCAUUUCCAUUCAUGUGUUUAAUUUCACUUCAAAGGCCAGGGAAUUGUUUUGGGUGCCUGUUGCACCACACAUUUAAACGAUUGAAUUCCUACAUGCUUUUACUUUUAGAUGAACUUGAAACUUGUGAGAUGGCGUUGAAAUUUGAGCAACCAAGAUUUCAAACUUACUAGAUUCUUGGCACAAUCAAAACUUUACAUGUAUGUCAAGCAACUGUGCAGAGAUGUUUGAGUCAACCUUCAGUGGAGUCCUUAACAACGUUUUCAAAGAAUUGUUGAACACAGAGUUCCCCUGGGGUACUGAUCUGUGUGAGGUGGUCAAACAAGUUUGCCAAAAUUCUAGUGCCUAAAACAAAAGCAAGUGUUUUCAAAAAGACCUGAAAUAAAUUCUGUAUAGUCUAAUAGUACAUUUACUCCAAAUUUUCCCUCUAAAAUAAAUCAAUCUUAUUUUCUGUGUUCCUCUUUACUGUUUCAAAAUAUCUAAGUUAUUUUGCUUUUUCCUUCUGUCUUUGUUGUAGUGUGAGGUGGUAAAUUCAAUAAAAAAGACUGAGGUGGCCACUCAAAUCAGUAAGGCGGGCCCUCUCACAGUUGAAUAGGCAGGGAAAACCCUGGUUGAACAUUCAAAAACAAAAACACAGUUCAUUCAUUUGCCACGAUGCUGUAGUUUUACUCUGUAAAGGCUUAUGAUUAUGCGAGAGAAACAUUUGACCUUGCUGUGCCUCAUCAUCGUACAAUUAGAACAUGGUACAGUAGUGUAGAAGGGGACCCUGGAUUCACAAAGCAAGCAUUUGAUGCUCUCAAAGCUAAUGCCAAUGACAACUUGGCACAGGAAAAGGACCGAGACUGUUCAGUUAUGUUCAAUGAGAUGGCAAUACGUAAACAUGUUGAAUGUGCAAAAGGUAGUAUAGAGGUUACGUAGACAUUGGUUCAGGUUGGUUCAGUGACUCCACACCAGUACCAAAAGAUGCUUUAGAUUUUAUGGCAGUGUCAGCUAAUGAAGGUUAGAAAAUACCGUGUGACUAUUUUCUUGUAGAUGGCUUAAGUGGAAGAACAAGCAAAUCUGGUCGAUGAGUGUUUUUGUAGACUUUAUGAUAGUGGUAUAUGAGCAGUGUCUCUAACUUGUGAUGAGCCAUCAUGUCAUUUUGCAAUGAUGAAAUCCCUUGGGGCAAACAUGAAUGUGCUUGGUUUGGAUCUAUCAUUUCCUCAUCCAUCUGAUCAUUCAAUUCGAGUUCAUAUCAUUUUUGAUGCAUACCAUUUGUUGAAGUUGCUCUGCAAUUUAUUUGCAGACAUGGGGGUUUUCAAAACCUCAGAUAGUCAGACCAUAAAUUGGCAGUGUAUAGAAGAGCUCAAUAAUCUUCAAGAAAAAGAGGGACUUCGAUUAGGUAAUGAACUAAAAAGUGCACAUAAUGACUAGCAAAGACCAAAAAAUGAAGGUCAAUUUGGAGCACAGGUAUUUAGUGCAAGUGUAGCAGAUGCCCUAUGGUAUUGCAAAGAGGGUUGAAGCUCCCUCCAUUUGGAGGGAUCACAGUUUGAUUUUUACUGAAUGUUGAUGCUGCGUUUGAUGUGCUUAACAGCAAGAAUCCUCUGGGCGAAGGUGCUAAAGUUCAUAUUAGAAAAGAAAAUGCAAAUAAAUUGCUUAAGAUCUUAGGAGAUGCUGAACACUUCAUUCUACGUCUGUUAGAGAAACCAAACAUGUUAGAUAUCAAAUUGGAAAAUUGUUCACAUACACAUGGUCUGCUCCUUUUUCUGCUGCCUGGGAAGCCAUAUCCGCAAAUGCAAGUCCCAGUUACAGCCAAGACUAGCAUGUCAACCUUUGGAAGCCACUUGCCCAAAAAUGUAGUCGUUUGUCAUUCCCAAGCAAGAGUGCAUCGGACUGGGAUAAACUGUCAUUUUGUCCUGCAAAGGUGGAACAUGUCCUGCCCAGAUUCACUUGUUACUUAGGGACUUCAAUGUUGACUUUCACUCCAGAGCAGCUGAAUCAUAGUCUGAUCGGGCCUCCUUAGUUGACAUGUUUGAGUUUACUGACUCAUUAAAUUUAAUACUACCGGUACUUGUCACAGAUGUUACUAGGCUAUCUAGCAAUAUUUAUUCUUUGGGUUCUGCUAUUUAUCUCAUUUCUGUGAUAUCGCAUGUAAAAUGUUCAAUGCUGAAUCUGUAGCUAAUUCAGUCUUAGGUGAUUAUCAUGCUGUGCAAUUUAUGUUUUGUGCAAACAAAUGUUUGCCUCGUUCUUCUUAUAUACGACAAUUUUUAGCCAACAGGUAUACUCUUGUAGCUAUUAACGACUUGAACCUCUUAUUUAUGGCUAUAAAUGAUGCUGAUUCCUCAUGGGAGGGUUUUUGGGAUAUUGUAAAUGCAGCUGUUAAGAUUCGAUUCCAUGUUCACAUAAAAAAGCUAAACGUACAAACUGUGCUUGGUUGACUCCUGAGUUUAAGCGCUUGUUAGAUCUUAAACGUAAACUAAAUAGAAAUGCCAAGUUGUUUAAAUGUUUUGAAUGACUGGAAAUUGUAUAAGUUAGUAUGCAAUUGUUGAAUAUUCUACACGUAAAAUACACAAGACAUUCAUUGAGCACAUGUUCUUUUAAUUGUAGCAAUAACAAAACUGUUAUGGUCUUUUCUGCAAAGCACGAAACGAUCCCCAAAUUCACCUUCUUUAAAGCAUGGUUCCUAAAUUUGUGUAGAUCCUCUCAAAAUAGCUUGUGCUUUCCCCAUUUUUUUCUGUUGCCAACUCACUUUGUGAAGUCCUCUAGUAUGUGACUUUCCCAUUCCUGACACUUCUACGACUGUUUAUUUAUUGAUGUUCAGUGCAUCAUUCGUUCCCUCGCCCUUGGGAAGGCCCCUGAACCUGAUGGGAUUAGUGUCCAGUUUUUGGGUAAUACAGUUGAACACUA
rnacentral:lncRNA from 1 species